UUUUGCAAUUAAGCACCAUGAACCGUACAAUGAUGAAAUACAUUUUAGUAUUACUCUUAUACUUUGCUAACUUUCGUGAGACAAUAGCCUCACCACAAAAACUCAAAUGUAUUUUUACCGACAAAUACGAGGUUCAUAUUGUCAGCAAUCUUCCUCCAAAUACUCCGCCAAUGAAGCUACAUUGUGCAUCUGGAGAUGAUGAACUUGGAUACCACACACUUCAUACAAAUCAAGAUUUUAACUUUCACUUUUGUGAAAAAUUUUGGUAUACUUUGUUUUUCUGCCAUGCUUGGUGGGGUUCAAAGAACGUUGGCUUUAUUGCUUUCAAUUCAAAAUGGGUACGACACCCAUGUGAUGCAACCGGUUUGUGUUAUUGGUUUGUAAAAAAAGAUGGCAUCUUCUUUUCGAAUCACAGUCCUCCAGGAAAUGACUUGAUGCUAGUACGCAAGUGGCAUGGACGAUAAAUGAUUUCUUUCUCUCGAUUGUUCAAUAAAGAUGAUUCAUG
rnacentral:lncRNA from 1 species